UUCCUUCCUUCCUCCUCAGGAUGCCUGUAGCUGGUUCGUCCGUCCUGCUGAGCUCCUCCAGUUUUUAGAGCUGUCCAAAUUCUGUAGCCACUGGAUGGAUCGCAACGCAGAGGCGGUGCUAAUGAGGAAAUGCGCAUAAACCACAGCCGGAUGGCUCAGCGGCGUUCAGGCUUUGCCGACUGCAGACGGUGAUGCAGGCGAUGCAGUAGACGCCUACAGGCGGGGUCCUUCUGCAAAGGGAAAGUAGCACGUGUGGGAAGAGCUGCUACCGGCUGGCGGUGCAGGUCACGCUGCCUCCUCACCAUGCCCACUCUCUAUCUUUCCCCGCAUCCGGAUAACUUCCAGAAUCUCCGUGUACUCGUUGCAGCUCGUUAUGGCCGACAGGAGCCCAAGGUGGUCGAAUUGCCUCCUGACAGAGAGCCGGGGAACCCUUCCUUCUCUCUGCCAAAACUCCCAGCUCUGGAAACCCAGGCGGGGGUCUGCGUGUCUGGCCCAGCAGCCGUUUCUUAUCUGCUGUCCCCAGAUAACCUGAGAGGGCAAGGCCCAAAGGCAAGUGCUUUGGUACAGCAGUGGAUCCAUUACGCGGACUUAGAAAUUGCCCCUGCAGCCUGCACAGCAGCCUUUUAUGUG